CAGGACGAACGCUGGCGGCGUGCUUCAUACAUGCAAGUCGAACGAUAAGGUCCUUCGGGAAUACAUAAGUGGCGGACGGGUGAGUAAUAUGUAGAGAAUCUGCCCUGAAGAGGGGGACAACAGAGGGAAACUUCUGCUAAUACCCCAUAUGCGCGUAGUUGGGAUACUAUUCGUGAAAGAUUUAUCGCUUCAGGAUGAGUCUGCAUCUGAUUAGCUAGUUGGGGGUGUAAUGGACCACCAAGGCGACGAUCAGUAGCUGGUUUGAGAGGAUGAUCAGCCACAAUGGGACUGAGACACGGCCCAUACUCCUACGGGAGGCAGCAGUAGGGAAUUUUGCGCAAUGGGCGAAAGCCUGACGCAGCAACGCCCGCGUGAUCGCAGACGGCCUUCGGGUUGUAAAGAUCUGUCAGCAGGGACGAACAAUGACUGUACCUGCAGAGGAAGCACCGGCUAACUCCGUGCCAGCCGCGGC
rnacentral:rRNA from 1 species